rnacentral:rRNA from 1 species
GACGUAGGGCGCGAGCGUUGUCCGGAUUUAUUGGGCGUAAAGAGCUCGUAGGCGGUUUGUCGCGUCGACUGUGAAAACCUACAGCUUAACUGUGGGCUUGCAGUCGAUACGGGCAGACUUGAGUUCGGUAGGGGAGACUGGAAUUCCUGGUGUAGCGGUGAAAUGCGCAGAUAUCAGGAGGAACACCGGUGGCGAAGGCGGGUCUCUGGGCCGAUACUGACGCUGAGGAGCGAAAGCGUGGGGAGCGAACAGG